GCCCAGUCUGCUAACUGCUAGUCCUUGCUAACUGCUUGCUUGCUAACCAGGUCUGCUAACUGCUAGCUUGUCUGCCCGGUCUGCUAACUGCUAGCCCUUGCUAACUGCUUGCUUGCUAACUGCUUGCUUGCUAACCAGGUCUGCUAACUGCUAGCUUGUCUGCCCGGUCUGCUAACUGCUAGCCCUUGCUAACUGCUUGCUUGCUAACCCGGUCUGCUAACUGCUAGCUUGCCUGCCCGGUCUGCUAACUGCUAGCUUGCCUGCCCGGUCUGCUAACUGCUAGCUUGCCUGCCCGGUCUGCUAACUGCUAGUCCUUGCUAACUGCUUGCUUGCUAACCAGGUCUGCUAACUGCUAGCUUGCUAACCCGGUCUGCUAACUGCUAGCCCUUGCUAACUGCUUGCUUGCUAACCCGGUCUGCUAACUGCUAGCUUGCUAGCCCUUGCUAACUGCUUGCUUGCGAGCCCUUGCUAACUGCUUGCUUGCUAACCCGGUCUGCUAACUGCUAGCUUGAUUGCCCAGUCUGCUAACUGCUAGUCCUUGCUAACUGCUUGCUUGCUAACCAGGUCUGCUAACUGCGAGCUUGUCUGCCCGGUCUGCUAACUGCUAGCUUGUCUGCCCGGUCUGCUAACUGCUAGUCCUUGCUAACUGCUUGCUUGCUAACCAGGUCUGCUAACUGCUAGCUUGUCUGCCCGGUCUGCUAACUGCUAGCCCUUGCUAACUGCUUGCUUGCUAACCCGGUCUGCUAACUGCUAGCUUGCUAACCCGGUCUGCUAACUGCUAGCUUGCCUGCCCGGUCUGCUAACUGCUAGCUUGCCUGCCCGAUCUGCUAACUGCUAGCCCUUGCUAACUGCUUGCUUGCUAACCAGGUCUGCUAACUGCUAGCUUGUCUGCCCGGUCUGCUAACUGCUAGCCCUUGCUAAC